CUGGUUGAUUCUGCCAGUGAUUAUAUGCUGAUCUUAAAGAUUAAGCCAUGCAUGCGUAAGUUCACAUCGAUUUAAGAUGAAACUGCGAAGCGCUCAGUAAAUCAGUUAUUGUCCAUUCGAUUGUAUAAAAUAUGGAUAACUUUGGUAAAUCUAUAGCUAAUACAUGUACGAACCGUGAUUGGUAACAAUUACGGGGCAUUUAUUAGUAAAAAACCAACCGAGUGUUUAAAGCUCGAAGUYGAAACUAAAUAACUGUGCCUAUCGGUGAAAUACAGCCGAUAUUUCGAUCGAGUUUCUGCCCUAUCAACUAGUUGUUGGGGUAUUGGCCUAACAAGGUUUUGACGGGUAACGGGGUAAUCAGGGUUCGAUUCCGGAGAGGGAGCCUUAGAAACGGCUACCACAUCCAAGGAAGGCAGCAGGCGCGGAAAUUACCCAAUCCGGACACCGGGAGGUAGUGACGAGAAAUACCAAAGCGGGCUUAAUGUUCGCUAUUGGAAUGAGAUUAAUCUAUAAACUUUUUCGAGUAACAACUGGAGGGCAAGUCUGGUGCCAGCAGCCGCGGUAAUUCCAGCUCCAGUAGUGUAUAUCAAAAUUGUUGCGGUUAAAACGCUCGUAGUUGAAUGACGAGAAUUCAUGCAACAGGGGAAUAUUUUCCUAUAUAUGUUGUGUGGUUUCUUUUAUUGCAUGAUCCAGAGGUUGGCUUGAGUGCUUGUCUCUGGUCUCUUGCAAAGCGUGCCUUGAAUAAAGCAAAGUGCUCAAUGCAAGCGUUACGCUAGAAUGUUAUAGCAUGGAACGAACAACCAGAUUUCUGGUUCAGUUGGUUGGUUUGUCUAGCCUUUCGGGGUUAGGCGCUGAACCGGGUCAUGAUUAAAAGGGACAUUUGAGGGCGUUAGUACUUCAUGGCGAGAGGUGAAAUUCUAUGACCCAUGAAAGACUUACAGAUGCGAAAGCCUUCGCCAAGAAUGUUUUCAUUAAUCAAGAACGAAAGUUAGAGGUUCGAAGACGAUCAGAUACCGUCGUAGUUCUAAACAGUAAACAAUGCCACCACGGGGUCAGCCCGUUAAAAUACAGGUUGGUCCCCCAGGGAAACCUAAAGCUUUCGGGUUCCGGGGGGAGUAUGGUCGCAAGGCUGAAACUUAAAGAAAUUGACGGAAGAACACCACCAGGAAUGGGGUGUGCGGCUUAAUUUGACUCAACGCGGGGCAACUCACCAGGUCCGGACAUUAAAAGGAAUGACAGACUGAUAGAUCUUUCAUGAUAUAAUGAUUGGUGGUGCAUGGCCGUUCUUAGUUGGUGGAGCGAUUUGUCUAGUUAAUUCUGAUAACGAGCGAGACCACGAUUCCUAAUUUAUCGCUGUGUCAAUAAGUUGCGACGGUUUACCUAGCUACCGGCACAGAUAAUAGGGAGACCACCGUGCGAUAGAAAGCCGGAGGAAGCGUGGCAAUAACAGGUCUGUGAUGCCCUUCGAUGUCCUGGGCUGCACGCGCACCACAAUGGCAGUGACAAAGAGUUACUGCUCCGAGAGGAGUGGUUAAUCAAAAAUCGCUGUCUUGAUUGGGAUUGAGCCUUGUAAUAAUUGCUCAUGAAAGAGGAAUUCCUCGUAAAUACGAGUCACCAACUCGUAUUGAAUAAGUCUCUGUUCUUUGUACACACCGCCCGUCGCUACUACUGAUUGAAUAGGAUUUCGAAAAGUAAAGAUUCGAUCGAGAUUUCUCAG
rnacentral:rRNA from 1 species